rnacentral:rRNA from 1 species
UACGGAAGGUGCAAGCGUUGUUCGGAAUGACUGGGCGUAAAGCGCACGUAGGUGGGCUUGUAAGUCGGAUGUGAAAGCCCCAGGCUCAACCUGGGAAUGGCACCCGAAACUACAAGUCUUGAAUGCCUGAGAGGUUGGUGGAAUUCCAGGUGUAGGAGUGAAAUCCGUAGAUAUCUGGAGGAACACCGGAGGCGAAGGCGGCCAACUGGUGGUGCAUUGACACUGAGGUGCGAAAGCGUGGGGAGCAAACAGG